rnacentral:rRNA from 1 species
AGAGUUUGAUCCUGGCUCAGAUUGAACGCUGGCGGCAUGCCUAACACAUGCAAGUCGAACGGCAGCACAGCAGUAGCAAUACUGUGGGUGGCGAGUGGCGGACGGGUGAGUAAUGCAUCGGGAUCUACCCUGACGUGGGGGAUAACCUCGGGAAACCGGGACUAAUACCGCAUACGUCCUACGGGAGAAAGCGGGGGACCUUCGGGCCUCGCGCGGCAGGACGAACCGAUGUGCGAUUAGCUAGUUGGCGGGGUAAUGGCCCACCAAGGCGACGAUCGCUAGCUGGUCUGAGAGGAUGAUCAGCCACACUGGGACUGAGACACGGCCCAGACUCCUACGGGAGGCAGCAGUGGGGAAUAUUGGACAAUGGGCGCAAGCCUGAUCCAGCAAUGCCGCGUGUGUGAAGAAGGCCUUC